AGAGUUUGAUCAUGGCUCAGAUUGAACGCUGGCGGCAGGCCUAACACAUGCAAGUCGAGCGGUAGCACAGGAGAGCUUGCUCUCUGGGUGACGAGCGGCGGACGGGUGAGUAAUGUCUGGGAAACUGCCUGAUGGAGGGGGAUAACUACUGGAAACGGUAGCUAAUACCGCAUAACGUCUUCGGACCAAAGUGGGGGACCUUCGGGCCUCACGCCAUCAGAUGUGCCCAGAUGGGAUUAGCUAGUAGGUGGGGUAAUGGCUCACCUAGGCGACGAUCCCUAGCUGGUCUGAGAGGAUGACCAGCCACACUGGAACUGAGACACGGUCCAGACUCCUACGGGAGGCAGCAGUGGGGAAUAUUGCACAAUGGGCGCAAGCCUGAUGCAGCCAUGCCGCGUGUGUGAAGAAGGCCUUCGGGUUGUAAAGCACUUUCAGCGAGGAGGAAGGGUAGUGUGUUAAUAGCACAUUGCAUUGACGUUACUCGCAGAAGAAGCACCGGCUAACUCCGUGCCAGCAGCCGCGGUAAUACGGAGGGUGCAAGCGUUAAUCGGAAUUACUGGGCGUAAAGCGCACGCAGGCGGUUUGUUAAGUCAGCUGUGAAAUCCCCGCGCUUAACGUGGGAACUGCAUUUGAAACUGGCAAGCUAGAGUCUUGUAGAGGGGGGUAGAAUUCCAGGUGUAGCGGUGAAAUGCGUAGAGAUCUGGAGGAAUACCGGUGGCGAAGGCGGCCCCCUGGACAAAGACUGACGCUCAGGUGCGAAAGCGUGGGGAGCAAACAGGAUUAGAUACCCCGGUAGU
rnacentral:rRNA from 1 species